UACGGAGGGUGCAAGCGUUAUCCGGAUUCACUGGGUUUAAAGGGUGCGUAGGUGGGUUGAUACGUCAGUGGUGAAAUCCCCGAGCUUAACUUGGGAACUGCCAUUGAUACUAUUGAUCUUGAAUACCGUGGAGGUCAGCGGAAUAUGUCAUGUAGCGGUGAAAUGCUUAGAUAUGACAUAGAACACCAAUUGCGAAGGCAGCUGGCUACGCGAAUAUUGACACUGAUGCACGAAAGCGUGGGGAUCAAACAGG
rnacentral:rRNA from 1 species